rnacentral:sRNA from 1 species
GCUGGGUGUGGUGGCAUGCACCUGUAGUCCCAGCUACUCAGAGGCUGAGGUGGGAGGAUUGCUUGAGCCCAGGAGGUCGAGGCUACAGUGGUGAUUGUGCCACUGUACUCCAGCCUGGACAACAGAGCAAGAUCCUGUCUCAA